GUGAACGGGUGGCGGCGAGAGGAGACGGGGUUGGGGUUGGGGCGGCGGCGGAGUUAGGGUGGCGGCGGCCGGAGGAGGAGGAGAUCGUGGAGGCGAGGUCGGGGAGUGGAAGAGUCGGACCUAGGCGUGCUGUUCCACACCCCGAUACCCUCUCUUCCGAGGUAUAGCGCGCUGUUCCACUCCCCCACGGGUCUAGGCGUCGCCGUGGUGGCACGGGAGCAGGUGGACCGGGAGCUCCAGCCGGUACCUCCAGGCCGGGCUGGUUACCUACCUACCCCUACUUUGGGAUCGGGUUGUGGGUGGGUACCUACCUACCCCUACCCCGCUGCUGCCGCCACCGCCGCCGCCGGAAGAGAGCCACGAACGACUACACCACCUGUAGCUGUAGCCACUGCCCAACGUCGUGCAUCUGUAGUUUCCGACGCCCACACUGCCUCCUCGUGGUACCGCCCGCACGUCUGGUACCGAGUGAUACCUUCCGGGAAGGGAAGGGAGAGAGACAAGCCCGGUACGAGUCCGUCAGAAAAGAGAAGAGAAGGGCGUUUUUUUCAGAAAAGAGAAGUACUAAACUUGUACAACCUCCGGUAAUAAAGAGGUGACGGCCUCAGAUCGGAGGGAGGCACCCUACGGUACCUCUACUUUGAGGGGAGCUGCUUUCUUAAGUUCCCGUACACCCUCUCUCUCCUCCAGGUACCUCUUCUUCGAGACGAGGUUGGGAGGGACGGAGGAUUAUGUUCUACAGAAAAAAACACACACGAACAUAACGUCGUCGGUACACGCAUAGUUUUUUUCCCAGGUCAAACGUCGUCAGUGUACUAUACCUGUACAAAAAAGUAGUGUUAACCUAAAAACCUAAAUGAUCCGAUUAACCACCACCAACGACAACAACAACAAAAUCGUCGUCGUCGUCGUCCGCCUCACUGCUACAACCGAUACACGUCCGGUACCUCCGAAACUACUCGUGCUCCCCUUCCGGCGACGAAGUUGGGGCAAUUCGAAUGCACACCCUAAACGAAGCCUUCAACAGGUGCACUCAGUUACCCACGACGAAGUACACCCGUAGGAAAGACACCACAUACAACCUCUCCAAUGUGUGGACUACUACAAAUGCCGAUCCGUGUUCUUGUUCGUCUCGGCUCCUUCACGCCCGUGCGCGACGACCGGAACCGUCCACAUCCUUGGCACGCUCCUUCCAAGUCGCGCGACGUGUUCAGCCCGGUGCGGGCCUCGCGGCACGGUUGCGUACACACGCACCAGCCACCCAAUCGGUUCUAGACGUAAGACGCUGAAGUAGAAGUGGUACCUGUGUUCGUUCCUGACUAACCACCAAGAACCAUCGCCACGGCUCGUAGCCGCCUAGCUUCACCAGCUCCAGCGCCAAUUAGGUGGUCCUGCUCUGUACGUAGAACCUCGAUCGCGUCUCCCCCCUUCUUCGUCCAACCAUACCGGGCCUUGAAAACGCGUUUCUUUUGUGUGUGUCCCGUCCUUGUACUGAUGAGAAGGGGAAGGUUCAAAAACUAGCUAGCUUGAGAAGCCACUGGUCUUUUACUCUUUUUCCGUCCGGCAGCUACAUGUCUGGUGUCCACGAGCCUGCGUGCCGGCCGUAGUACCAGCAGUAUUGAGUAUUGGGUACUCCACCACUGGUUCGUUCUUUCCUUCCUUGAAAGCGCGUUUCUUUUGUGUGUAUCCCGUCCUUGUACUGAUGAGAGCGGGAAGGUACAAAGACUAGCUAGCUUGAGAAGCCACUGGUUUUUUACUCUUUUCCCGUCCAGCAGCUACAUGUCUGGUGUCCACGAGCCUGCGUGCCGGCCGUAGUACCACCAGUAUCGAGUAUUGGGUACUCCCCCACUGCUUCGUUCUUUCCUUCUAAGUACUUCGAGGUUCGCUCGUUCUUCAAAGUCAGGUGGAAAUGAGUACCGGAGGGGAAGAGCAGACCACCUGCCGGAACCGUUAGACUUGUUCGAAAUGCGCUGACCGUGAGAACAACUAGGGUAUACUCAGUAAUUCGGUAAAACACGCGUUCCAACUCUAUCAACCCCGGACAUUGACACAAAACUAGGGUACUUACAGUAAAACGUGGCUUCCAAACAUUGGUAACCCCUUACAAAAGAACGAGACUACAUAGUUCAACGGUACCCCCACUAGAUCUCCAGAGAAGGAACAGGUUUCAUACAGCAUGGAUUAGUUCUGUACAAGUAAAUUAAAUGGGCAGUACAUUUACUGUGUUGUACUAAGUGAACACAUAUCACAUUUUUAUAUAAAUAAAUACCGUGUGUCCACAAGUUUAAUAUCAACACUUUGCACAUAUCACAUUUUUAUAUUAAUAAUUCCCUACACUGCAGUGUCACCAGCACGGAGCAGAAGAGGCUCAGAGACGAACACCAAACACAAGAAAUCUAGACAAGUACGGGACUAUAACGAUAGACUAAAGUAGAAGAGACCUG
rnacentral:rRNA from 1 species